CCCUAUGGGGUGCACCAGGAAUGAAUGCAGCUAUUCGCUCGGUUGUUCGUUGUGCUGUCAGUAAAGGGUGGUCCACUUUUGGUGUCAGAAAUGGAUAUCAAGGAUUGAUUGAUGGAUUAUUUGAACCGAUGGGCACACGCGAGGUUGGCGGUAUUCUGCAACGGGGUGGCACAAUACUUGGUAGUGCUCGUUGUGAGGAGUUCACAACCGUCGAAGGACGUGAACGUGCGAUUCAAGGCCUGAACAGAAAGGGUGUGGAUGCUUUAGUCGUGAUCGGUGGAAACGGUUCACAGACUGGCAGUUAUGCGCUUUCUCAAAUGGGGUUCCCUGUGGUAGGAAUUGGCGGGAGAGC
rnacentral:rRNA from 1 species